rnacentral:rRNA from 1 species
GCUAACUGAAAUCAAUCUACAUAUAAAUAUUGAUUGAUAACGUAAGGGAAAAUUAUGAUAUUACCUUACUAUUAGUGUCGUCCAAAUCUGGUGCCAGAAGACUCGGUAAGGCCAGAGACGCAAACGUUAAUCGUCUUAAACAGGCGUAAAGGGUUUGUAGGCUGCUUUGAAUAUUAUCUUUUAAAUUACUUAAUGGUAACAUAGCGCAUUAGAUAAUUAAUCAAAGCUAGAAUCAAAUAGAGGUUAUAUUAUAUAAUGCUUAAAGUAGGUCUAAUAUCCUAACAGAUUAAGUGGAAUAUUAAAAGCGAAGGCUUAUUUACCAUAAAUGAUUGACGCUGAGAAACGAAGGUGAGGAUAGGAAAUAGGAUUAGAUACCCAAAAUACCCCUCUCUGUCAACGAUGAAUGGUGGUUGCUAAUUAUAAAAUUAGUAGCUAUGUUAACACGAUAACCAUUCCGCCUUGUGAGUACGACUGCAAAGUUGAAAACAAAAAAAUUAGUCGGUUUCGGAGCAA